rnacentral:rRNA from 1 species
UAGGGGCACGAACCGGAUUAGAUACCCGGGUAGUCCUAGGUGUAAACGCUUGUGGACUUGAUGUUGGGGGCGCUCCGAGCGCACUCAGUGUCGAAGCGAAGGUGAUAAGUCCACUGCCUGGGGAGUACGGUCGCAAGGCUGAAACUUAAAGGAAUUGGCGGGGGAGCACCGCAACCUGAGGAUUGUGCGGUUUAAUUGGAUUCAACGCCGGAAAACUCACCAUAGCCGACGGACAUAUGAAGGCCAGCGUAAUGAGCUUGCUGGAUUGUUCGAGAGGUAGUGCAUGGCCGUCGUCAGUUCGUACCGCAAGGCGUUCUGUUAAGUCAGAUAACGAACGAGACCCUCAUCCCUAUUUGCUAACCCGAUCUCCGGAUCAGGGCACUAUAGGGAGACCGCUGGCGCGAAGUCAGAGGAAGGCGAGGGCAACGGUAGGUCAGUAUGCUCCGAAUGCUAUGGGCUACACGCGCAAUACAAAGGACGGGACAAUGGGCUGCUGCUCCGAAAGGAACGAUGGCUAUCCCGAAACCCGUUCGUAGUUCGGAUUGAGGGCUGUAACUCGCCCUCAUGAAGCUGGAUUAGGUAGUAAUCGCGUCUCAAAAAGGCGCGGUGAAUAUGCCCCUGCUCCUU